rnacentral:lncRNA from 1 species
UGGCCUCCUGAGAAUCCGACAAGACGUAAAUAGCCAAGAAUAUCUGUGAAACUUCAUCACUGAGUUACAAUAUUUAUCACUGCAAGUGUGUUGUUCAUUGACACUAUAAAGCCAUGUGGAAUUAAGCAGCCUUGAAACACAAAAUGGAGAAAGGCUAAGAGCUGAGAAUUGUUGCCUUCAGGGAAAUACAAUCAAUGUCAAGCAAACAACCACCCCAAAAUGCCAGCCACCUCAAGAAAGAACAGUUCAUGUGCAGGUGACCAUGUAGUUCAAGUCAUCAUUAAAUCCAAAGCUGAGCAGCCGUGAUGCUAUUGGUGGAAUUGCCCUUGACCAAGAGAAAUCCAUCUUGAUUGUCUCAAUAAUCGGCUCAAGGACCACUGAUGAUGAGGUCCUAAAUUUAAUUCCUAAAAAACCACUAAAGUUAUAGAGGCAAAAUGAGAAAGCAUAGCUCACAAAUACCUUGUGACCAAUGACUUGCCUAUUCAACGUGAAAAAGAUGAGGAUGAAGACCUUUAUUAUGAUCCACUUCCAAGUAAUGAACACACUGGAGAAAGUCAGACAGUCAAAACAAUGUCCCAGACUCCGUGAAGUUCCUGGGUAGAGAAGGAGACAGACAUAUACCAUACCUAAUAAUUGGAUGUCCGAGAGAAUGAGAGAAUGGCAGAAAGAACUUUAGAGCAUGGGUAUGAUGGCUAGAGCUUGAGCAGCCAUUGUGGACAUCAGAUGAACUUGAAAGUGAAAACUAUGAGCUGAAUACGACAAAGCAAACAGAUAGAAAACUGGAUUCAUUAUGACAUUGCAAAGCUGCC